rnacentral:rRNA from 1 species
GAUCCUGGCUCAGGAUGAACGCUGGCGGCGUGCUUUAUACAUGCAAGUCGAACGUGAAGCUGACUUCGGUCAGUGGAAAGUGGCGGACGGGUGAGUAAUACAUAGGAAAUCUGCCCUUAGGAAGGGGAUAACAGUCGGAAACGAUUGCUAAUACCCUAUAUGAGCUUGGUUGCAAUACCAAUCUUGAAAACUCCGGUGCCUAAGGAUGAGCCUGUGCCUGAUUAGCUUGUUGGUGGUGUAAUGGACCACCAAGGCGACGAUCAGUAGCUGGUUUGAGAGGAUGAUCAGCCACAAUGGAACUGAGACACGGUCCAUACUCCUACGGGAGGCAGCAGUAGGGAAUUUUGGGCAAUGGGCGAAAGCCUGACCCAGCCAACGCCGCGUGUGUGAUGAAGCCCCUAGGGGUGUAAAACACUGUCAGUAGGGAAGAAUCAAUGACUGUACCUACAGAGGAAGCACCGGCUAACUCCGUGCCAGCCGCCGC